GCGGACGUGGCGGAAUGGUAGACGCGCUAGAUUUAGGUUCUAGUCUCGUGAGGGGUAAGAGUUCGAGUCUCUUCGUCCGCA
rnacentral:tRNA from 1 species